GAUGAACGCUGGCGGCGUGCUUAACACAUGCAAGUCGAACGGGAAACCUUUUAAUGAAGCUUCGGCAGAUUUAGCUGGUUUCUAGUGGCGGACGGGUGAGUAACGCGUGGGUAACCUGCCUUAUACAGGGGGAUAACAGUCAGAAAUGACUGCUAAUACCGCAUAAGCGCACAGGACCGCAUGGUCCGGUGUGAAAAACUCCGGUGGUAUAAGAUGGACCCGCGUUGGAUUAGCUUGUUGGUGGGGUAACGGCUCACCAAGGCGACGAUCCAUAGCCGGCCGGAGAGGGUGAACGGCCACAUUGGGACUGAGACACGGCCCAGACUCCUACGGGAGGCAGCAGUGGGGAAUAUUGCACAAUGGGGGAAACCCUGAUGCAGCGACGCCGCGUGAAGGAAGAAGUAUCUCGGUAUGUAAACUUCUAUCAGCAGGGAAGAUAGUGACGGUACCUGACUAAGAAGCCCCGGCUAACUACGUG
rnacentral:rRNA from 1 species